UCCUCUAUUGUACAAUUACUUUGUUUCCUUUCUCCUCUCCUUCAUUACCACUGAUAGGCCAAAGGACUGGAUACUGUGGAAACUGUAGGUUUCAUGGGUAGGAAAGGACAUGAGGAGAGGAAGCAAGUUAAAGCUAUUGAGACACAGCCCUAGCAUUGGUGUUCUUGGCCACUAAAUACACAACACUGACCACUGGUAAAUACUGGGAGGUGUGGGGGUGGAAGAGAAGGUUAGUGCCCUACCCUCUACAUGUGAAUUUGAAGUUGUUAAGGGACACAAGGAAUUUAUCUUUUUUUUGCCUGAAAAAUAGAACUAGGAGAACAAGUGACCAGGCAACUUGAUUUUAUCCAAUAAGAAUAAAAAUCCCUGUUUAAUGUAUAGGCUACUCAACAUCCACAAUUUACCUGCCAAUAUCGCUUUAAUCCACUGGGGUUCACUUUCUAGACCUAGAGCUAUAGUAUGUAUCUCGCUACAGCAUUCCAUUCCCAACACUUCCUACCCCAAAUAUCUGGUGUCUAUUCCCCAAAACUUAGAGUUUGUGUCAUUUCAACAGACUCGCACAAUCAAGAGAGACUUGAGUGAGGGUUAUAUAUCUGACAAGUCAUCGUCCAAUGAGGCAGUGGACCAGCUCAGCCCUGAAGCCAAUGAGAGAGCAGUCGUGGCUGUGAGGGGGGCAUCAGCAGAGGCUGCUGCUCUGGGUGAUCUGGUGGGGGGUCCAGAGCCAGGGGACUCUCCCUCUGUGGGGACCCAGCCACAGAGCCACUUCAGUAGGCAGCCUGUCAAAUACCAGCGCCAGCCCACCCCGGGUCUCCGCCGCUCCGCGGGCACUACCAGGGCCGGGCAGCUCGGGGAAGAGGAGGAUGAAGAGGAGGAGGAGAGGAGGAGAAACCAGUCGAGGAGCGAAGACAGCAGUCGUAGCCCCUCUCCUGACCCUGGUAGCCAGAGAAGGAGAAGCCUUCGAUUGGAGCUCCCCCCCGAGACCACCGCCUACCACCUGCUCAGCCAGGCUGGAGGCCGCUCACCAGAGAACCAGACAGAAAGAGAGAAGACACGUCCGUAUGAGGUUCCACAGGGCAGGCUGCGGGCGGGGACAGUGGUAGUAGAACCCUCAAUAGCUGCAACAGCAGUAGCGGCAGGAGCCAAUCCGACACCGAGCACCGGUGCUCAGGAGGCGUGGCUUAGAAGUCGGUUAGCCACAUUGUCCCAGUUGAACAUGAACCAGUCCAAUAACAGUCAGGGUUGGGUGGGUGAGCGUCGGAGACAGGGCGGAGAGGAGGGUCUGAGUGGCCCGGCCCAGAGGAUCCUGUCAGGACUGAAGCUCAGACGCAGCCACUCAGGACUGCAGCAACACUUUGUCUGA
rnacentral:lncRNA from 8 species